rnacentral:rRNA from 1 species
UACGUAGGGUGCGAGCGUUUAAUCGGAAUUACUGGGCGUAAAGCGUGCGCAGGCGGUUUUGUAAGCCAGAUGUGAAAGCCCCGGGCUUAACCUGGGAAUGGCAUUUGGGACUGCAAGGCUUGAGUGCGGCAGAGGAGACUGGAAUUCCUGGUGUAGCAGUGAAAUGCGUAGAUAUCAGGAGGAAUACCGAUGGCGAAGGCAGGUCUCUGGGCUGACACUGACGCUCAUGCACGAAAGCGUGGGGAGCAAAC